UCGAGAACGCGGCAUACGGCGCACGCAUCCGACAACUCGUGUCACGUGGCUUAAACCGCAUUCUCGACUCGCGCGUAUCCCUUCCUGACGUUUGUGAAUGGAAAUCGGUUGGAUAAAUCCUUUUAUUUUCUCACGUGACAAAAAAACGCACUUCUUUGCAUUGCCUGCAAAAACUGUUUUUCUUUCCAAAGAAAAAACGCGUUUGCAAUUUAUUUAAUCCGUUCGAUCUUUCCUCGAUAUAUGUCGUUGAAGUUUGCUUUGUAAACGCCGGCAUAUAGAACAAAAAAAUCCACACGUAAAUCGCACGUUCACGUGCCGAAGAGUUUCGUUGUGAAUGUUGGAAAGAGAUGUCGAUAAAUGCCCUGACAAAAAACUGGCGGAGUAAUUAAAAAUAAUGUUGCAAAACUUUUUUCAUCGAUGAUCAGCAAACUUAAAAAAGAAUCGUAUCGAUAAUUGGCACGCAAGUGCGACGAUGUCAGUUCGCCAGAAGAAACUCGUUUUUCUCGAAAUCGACGAACAUUGGCGCGAACCAAGAGAGCUGUUUAAACUUCGGGAAGUAUUUCCCUCAACUUAAAAUCGGCAGCGCAAAGAAGAAAAGAGCGAAAAGGGGUAGAUAAAGAAAGAGAGAAAGAGAGAAAAAGCGAGAUCGAGAUCACGAUGUAGCGGGUGUAACUUUCGCGCCGGCAGCAACGGGGGUUUAUUCGCGGUCUCGCGAACUUCGUUCGACGACUCGAACUUCCGAUCGAUGUCCGGAAUUCGUCGAGGCGUAUGGAUUGACCUAAGAAUGAGACACGUUGCUAUAAUAUGGGACAAUUGGAGAACUGUUUAGACGGCUUAUCCAGGCGGACGUCGAGGAAGUCCUGCGAAAGGGCGUCCCGGCGUCUCAGGUCCUUGCUCGCCAAGGCCAGAAGAUGGGGCCUGACGACCGAGGAGGUUGCCGAGCUGCCGACUAUGAAGAAGCUGCUGCCAACCCGCGUCACCUCGACCUCGGCCACGUGGAUGACCUUGGCUACGAUCGCCCUGCUCCUCGGCGGCGGCAUCGUCCUCGCGUACAUCUGCGCGCCCUGCGUCACGCGGAGCAGAACGUGAGGCCAACCCUCGCAAGAAACCACUUUUACACGGAUAUAUAUACAUAUAUAUUGACGCAGCAGAGAGAGAGAGAGAGAGAAAGAGAGAGACGAAGUAAAUUAUGAAAACACAUGUCGAGCAUGGGAGAAACAUAUUGAUGAAUAGAUUUAUAAGAGAUUUGUGUAAUUUUAGCACGUGUGUUCAAUAAAAAAAAAAGAAAAAAAAAGAAAAUGCGCAAUUCCGCAGGUUAUUGUAAAAACAAUGUCACACUGAGUUUUUGUGCGAUGUCGAUAUUUGUUUUGAUAAAAUUCGAGUAAAAGAAAAACAAAACAAUGUAAUUUUUUUUACACGCGAGAUAUACCGAGGAAGACGCACAAAUCUUUAUCGCGAUGUAAAAUACGCAUUUUAAAAUACGAUUUUACAAGUAUGUAAAACACGGUAAUUGCUUAAAUAAAGAGCUCUUUUAAUCGAUAAUAUUUUGA